GAUGAUGAGUCCCAAAUAAGACGAAACGCGCGUCC
rnacentral:hammerhead_ribozyme from 1 species